AGCACGGAGCUUGCUCUGGUGGCGAGUGGCGAACGGGUGAGUAAUAUAUCGGAACGUACCCUAGAGUGGGGGAUAACGUAGCGAAAGUUACGCUAAUACCGCAUACGAUCUAAGGAUGAAAGUGGGGGAUCGCAAGACCUCAUGCUCGUGGAGCGGCCGAUAUCUGAUUAGCUAGUUGGUAGGGUAAAAGCCUACCAAGGCAUCGAUCAGUAGCUGGUCUGAGAGGACGACCAGCCACACUGGAACUGAGACACGGUCCAGACUCCUACGGGAGGCAGCAGUGGGGAAUUUUGGACAAUGGGCGAAAGCCUGAUCCAGCAAUGCCGCGUGAGUGAAGAAGGCCUUCGGGUUGUAAAGCUCUUUUGUCAGGGAAGAAACGGUGAGAGCUAAUAUCUCUUGCUAAUGACGGUACCUGAAGAAUAAGCACCGGCUAACUACGUGCCAGCAGCCGCGGUAAUACGUAGGGUGCAAGCGUUAAUCGGAAUUACUGGGCGUAAAGCGUGCGCAGGCGGUUUUGUAAGUCUGAUGUGAAAUCCCCGGGCUCAACCUGGGAAUUGCAUUGGAGACUGCAAGGCUAGAAUCUGGCAGAGGGGGGUAGAAUUCCACGUGUAGCAGUGAAAUGUGUAGAUAUGUGGAGGAACACCGAUGGCGAAGGCAGCCCCCUGGGUCAAGAUUGACGCUCAUGCACGAAAGCGUGGGGAGCAAACAGGAUUAGAUACCCUGGUAGUCCACGCCCUAAACGAUGUCUACUAGUUGUCGGGUCUUAAUUGACUUGGUAACGCAGCUAACGCGUGAAGUAGACC
rnacentral:rRNA from 1 species